UACGAAGGGGGCUAGCGUUGUUCGGAAUUACUGGGCGUAAAGCGCACGUAGGCGGAUUGUUAAGUCAGAGGUGAAAUCCCGGAGCUCAACUUUGGAACUGCCUUUGAUACUGGCAAUCUAGAGUCCGGAAGAGGUUAGUGGAAUUCCCAGUGUAGAGGUGAAAUUCGUAGAUAUUGGGAAGAACCCCAGUGGCGAAGGCGGCUAACUGGUCCGGUACUGACGCUGAGGUGCGAAAGCGUGGGGAGCAAACAGG
rnacentral:rRNA from 1 species